rnacentral:lncRNA from 1 species
UCUGACUGACGCUAUUGAAAGUUGAUGGCUGGAGAGGUACGACAGACACCGGAGGUGGUUGGCCGUUGUAGAAAUCCAGCUGCUGGAGUCCGUCUGUUGUAGAAGUUCAUCCGAAAUCUAUCCACUAUGGAAGUUCAAACGGAGUCCGAUUCUUGUAGAAGGCUGAAAGGAGGCUGCUUAUUGUAGAAGCUCGAUCGAAGAUCGAUUGUCGUGGAAGCUCAGAGUAGUGACCUGGCUGGUAGAGCCUAUCCCAUUGUAGAAGCUCGUCUGGGAUCCAUCCACUGUAGG